AUCACGAGCGGCUAUAUAUGGCCCUAUCGUCUAGUGAUGCCCCUAUCGUCUACUAGUUCAGGGCAUCUCUCUUUCAAGGAGGCAGCGGGGAUUCGACUUCCCCUGGGGUUAGGGAGUAUUAGCGCACUCGUAAUCUCCCGCAUGUCUGUCAUGCGAGCGGGGGCUGGGGACGGCGUUUGUGCUUGGGUUAGUCCUAGUAGCACUACAAAAUCUAAGCGACAGAGCUCUGGCUCGUGGACCUGCUCACGUGUAAUUCACCUCAGCAAGUCGUUGGUGCUUCUGUCUCCUUGUGUAGCACCCACAUGCGACCUCGUGAGCGUGCCUCGCUGGACUACUUGCGAAAACUUUAUAAUUCCCCUGGUGUAA
rnacentral:tRNA from 1 species